GACGAACGCUGGCGGCGUGCCUAAUACAUGCAAGUAGAACGCUGAAGGAGGAGCUUGCUUCUCUGGAUGAGUUGCGAACGGGUGAGUAACGCGUAGGUAACCUGCCUGGUAGCGGGGGAUAACUAUUGGAAACGAUAGCUAAUACCGCAUAACAGUAGAUAUCGCAUGAUAUCUACUUGAAAGGUGCAAUUGCAUCACUACCAGAUGGACCUGCGUUGUAUUAGCUAGUUGGUGAGGUAACGGCUCACCAAGGCGACGAUACAUAGCCGACCUGGGAGGGUGAUCGGCCACACUGGGACUGAGACACGGCCCAGACUCCUACGGGAGGCAGCAGUAGGGAAUCUUCGGCAAUGGACGGAAGUCUGACCGAGCAACGCCGCGUGAGUGAAGAAGGUUUUCGGAUCGUAAAGCUCUGUUGUAAGAGAAGAACGAGUGUGAGAGUGGAAAGUUCACACUGUGACGGUAUCUUACCAGAAAGGGACGGCUAACUACGUG
rnacentral:rRNA from 1 species